UACGGAGGGAGCUAGCGUUGUUCGGAAUUACUGGGCGUAAAGCGCACGUAGGCGGCUUUGUAAGUUAGAGGUGAAAGCCCGGGGCUCAACCCCGGAAUUGCCUUUAAGACUGCAUCGCUUGAAUCCGGGAGAGGUGAGUGGAAUUCCGGAGUGUAGAGGUGAAAUUCGUAGAUAUUCGGAAGAACACCAGUGGCGAAGGCGGCUCACUGGACCGGUAUUGACGCUGAGGUGCGAAAGCGUGGGGAGGCAAACAGG
rnacentral:rRNA from 1 species